UGGUCGUGUCAUUGGUGGUCUCUAAUUCAUUAUGGCUUUGAUCCAACAUUCGUCUGUCAUUCUCGCAAUGUGUCCUGCCCAAUUCCACUUCAGAGAUGCUAUCCUUUCCAUCACAUCUACGACUUUCGUUUGUUGCCGAAUCCACUUAUUCGUCAUUUUAUCUCUAAACGAAAUCCCAAGCAUACUUCGUUCCAUUGCUCUUUGUGCUACUCUGAGAUUGUUCUCGGAUGCUUUCGUUAGUGUUAACAACUUUUCUUUUCAGACUGUUGUUCAUUUUGCUUAAAAAAACCAUCGCUAAGUUUU